UUUAUCUCCCCUAGACUAGUCUAAUUUCAACUUUUUUUCACCCUCUCUAAUAAUUAUUACUCAACCUCUUCGAUAUUUUUUUCUUACUACUUUUCCAUAAAUGUUUUUAGUUUCCUGAACAGUGGACUUCGUUUUUCAGCCAAAACUGAGUUGUUGACCCACAAGAGUCAGCUGAGUUAUACUUUUGGUGAAAAUACUGUUUAAAGUGUCAAGAUAUAUCAAAUAAAGCAAUUCAAAGUGCAACUGAAAUUGAGGAGCUCCCUACUUUUGCAGGUUUGUGAAAUCAGAAAAGGGAACCAUUUAGGAUUCUUGAGGGUUAUUCAAGAGGUGUAUUUAAAGAUAGUUGAUAUUUGAAGAAGAAAAAAACAAAAAGGCAAUAUCAAUUAUAUAGAGAAAAAUUUAAAUGUGAAAAUAUUUCAGCUUUUCACUACACAAAUUACAUAAUCUCUUAUUCUUCUUGUAGGGAAAAAAAGAGAAAGCAAAAAUUGAAAAUAAAGAAAAGCAAAACAAACAUUUAAAGGUUGCAAGUUAAUAAAAAAAUAUAUACUUCUAAAAAUUAACUCACUGAAUGGUAUCUGUUUUAAACAAUAUAGACUUGUGUAAAUGUAUACAAGCAUGCACACAUAUUCAUAAAUAUGGAGUUACACAUACAUUAUUGCUUGUAUGAAUGUCUGUUAUCUGCCAGUAUAUUUAAAUUUUUGAAUUGAGCAUGAAUGUGUUCAUGUAUUUAGUGUUUCUAUAUGUGUGCAUAUGUUGGUGUGUUUCUAUAUUUGUGCAUAUCUAUCAUUAUGUAUGUAUCAUUAUACAUACAAACACAUGCACAGACAUACCACACACACACACAUUUAUCUUUAUAAAGCUCUGUGUGUAUGUAUGUGUGUCUGCAUAUAAAAAGGAUUUGUUUGUAUGCAAGGAAAAAAACAUAUGGAAAAUUGGAAAACAUCUACACUAAAACUGAGAAGAUCUCAGGAAAAAAAAAUCAGUGAAAUCCAACCUACCAAUAACUAUUUAAAAAAUCCAUAAUCAGAUUAAAUUUUUUUCUAUAAGCUGUGAUAUUUUUGCGAUGCCUUGGAUCUUCCUAAUUUACUGAAUGGAAUCAUAAGGUGCGGAUAUUACCGGAAUGCUAUUACCUUUGCAACAUAUUUUACAACUAAUACAGCGAGAGGAUGUUGAUGAUUUUGAUGACAUUAGUGAUGUGAAAGAAAACUGCAGUGGCUAUCAGAGUAUUUUUAUCCUGAUAUCACUGCUGUGAAUGAUCAGAUAUCUAUGUCAUCUGCAGUUGUACCGCCAAUUCAUGUAAACUAAUAAUCAAAAUUCCCAGAUGCAUGUGUAAAUAUAUACAUGUAUAUAUAGAUAUAUGCUUAUAUGUCUAGAUGUGCAUUUGGGUAUGGAUUUAAACACUAAUAUGUCUAUAGGUCUUUCUGGAUGAACAUCUAUAAAUGUUAAAUUAGGUACAAAAAUCUAUAAAUUCAUAAGUUUACAUAAGAAUAUAUACAUACAUCUGUGUGUGUGUGUAUGUGU